rnacentral:rRNA from 1 species
CCUACGGGGGGCUGCAGUGGGGAAUAUUGGACAAUGGGCGAAAGCCUGAUCCAGCCAUGCCGCGUGUGUGAAGAAGGCCUUCGGGUUGUAAAGCACUUUCAGCGGGGAAGAAAGCCUUGGGGCUAAUACCCUCGAGGAAGGACAUCACCCACAGAAGAAGCACCGGCUAACUCCGUGCCAGCAGCCGCGGUAAUACGGAGGGUGCGAGCGUUAAUCGGAAUUACUGGGCGUAAAGCGCGCGUAGGCGGUCUGAUAAGCCGGUUGUGAAAGCCCCGGGCUCAACCUGGGAACGGCAUCCGGAACUGUCAGGCUAGAGUGCAGGAGAGGAAGGUAGAAUUCCCGGGGUAGCGGUGAAAUGCGUAGAGAUCGGGAGGAAUACCAGUGGUGAAGGCGGCCUUCUGGACUGACACUGACGCUGAGGUGCGAAAGCGUGGGUAGCAAACAGGAUUAGAUACCCAGUAGUC